rnacentral:rRNA from 1 species
AGAGUUUGAUCAUGGCUCAGGAUGAACGCUGGCGGCGUGCCUAAGACAUGCAAGUCGAGCGGUAAGGCCCUUCGGGGUACACGAGCGGCGAACGGCUGAGUAACGCGUGGGAAUCCACCCCAAAGUGAGGGAUAAGCUCCGGAAACGGAGUCUAAUACCGCAUGUGGUCUUCGGAUUAAAGUUUUAUACGCUUUGGGAGGAGCCCGCGUCCGAUUAGGUUGUUGGUGAGGUAAUGGCUCACCAAGCCGACGAUCGGUAACUGGUCUGAGAGGAUGAUCAGUCAGACUGGAACUGAGACACGGUCCAGACUCCUACGGGAGGCAGCAGUCAGGAAUAUUCCACAAUGGGGGCAACCCUGAUGGAGCAACGCCGCGUGCAGGACGAAGGCCUUCGGGUCGUAAACUGCUUUUGUAUAUGAAGAAUAUGACGGUAAUAUACGAAUAAGGAUCGGCUAACUCCGUGCCAGCAGCCGCGGUCAUACGGAGGAUCCGAGCGUUAUCCGGAGUGACUGGGCGUAAAGAGUUGCGUAGGUGGUUUGUUAAGCGAAUAGUGAAACCCGGUGGCUCAACCACACGGACUAUUAUUCGAACUGGCAAACUUGAGAAUGGUAGAGGUAACUGGAAUUUCUAGUGUAGGAGUGAAAUCCGUAGAUAUUAGAAGGAACACCAAUGGCGUACGCAGGUUACUGGACCAUUUCUGA